GGGGAAUUUUCCGCAAUGGGCGCAAGCCUGACGGAGCAAUACCGCGUGAGGGAGGAAGGCUUUUGGGUUGUAAACCUCUUUUCUCAAGGAAGAAAAAAAUGACGGUACUUGAGGAAUAAGCAUCGGCUAACUCCGUGCCAGCAGCCGCGGUAAUACGGAGGAUGCAAGCGUUAUUCGGAAUUAUUGGGCGUAAAGCGUCCGCAGGUGGUAAUUCAAGUCUGCGGUCAAAGACCGAAGCUUAACUUCGGGAAGGCAGUGGAAACUGAA
rnacentral:rRNA from 1 species